UCCCUGGUGGCUCAGAUGGUAAAGCGUCUGCCUACAAUGCAGGAGACCUAGGUUUGAUCCCUGGGUCGGGAA
rnacentral:tRNA from 1 species